rnacentral:lncRNA from 1 species
UUUCAAUCUUCAAAAAUUAAUGGAUUUAUAAAAAUGUGAGGAGAGAUUUGCUAUUUCAUUUGUUAUUCAAACCAGAAACAUAUUGAAAUUCUACCAGCUAAGCACUGGACUGAAAGUUUCUCAGGGCAGAUUUCAAAUUAGGGUACAAAUACAAUUUACAAAUGUAUUUAAAAUUCUAAUUUGCAUUGAUCACACAAGAGAGAGCUAAAAAAGAGCAACUGGUGAGAAGUCCCUGUUCAUCUUUCUGUUGUGAUUGUCUGACCAUUUUACUCUUUCCUAGGGUGCCAAAUCCAUUUAAAAUUAGAGCAAAAACAUCUAGCCAAGUAAACCAGACAUUCUUUAUAUGAAUAAUUGCAUCUAAUGUAUGCUAAAGAUUGAGAAGAUGAUGGUCUAAAGGCAACUAAAUGUAUCUUAGGGAAUCUUUAGUUUUGAGAAUGAACAAAGCUGGAAUUUAAAAACAAUGCCCAGUUGAGUAUCUGGUGUCUUACUUAGAUGUAACUGAUUUUAAAGCUGGGUUUAUAAAUUCCUGCUCACUUGCUUAGAUCUUUUGACAAAUGUGUUUUUGAGAAGAAAACAGAGAAAAACAAAGAUUUUGAUUUUAAGCAUUUUUAUAGGGUGCAGUCACCAAAUGAAUGAAAGAAGAGGAAUUACAGCCAGAGAGAGUGUGAUGAGAGAGAUGGACUGUGAACCUAGUACAUUUGAUUUUAAACAUAUGACAUUGCCCUUCUAUAUUUUCUGAAGAGAUUGCUAACCUAUUGAAGUGGUUGCUUAGCCACGGAUGUGCUUUUCUGCAUACGAUUAAACUAUGUUAUCUUCCCUUCCUACCUCCAGACUUUUUUAGUGGCCUUGCAUUUUUGAGGAUUUUGUUGUUGUUGUUUUUAAUGCCAUAUGAAAAGGGGUAUUCUUUAAUCCUUUAGGCAUUGAGAGCUAGUUUCUACAGUAAGAUUAUGUUAAUAAUACCUGUUAAUAUUUGUUGACACCAGGAGUUAGAUGGUUGGCUAAGCAUUAUAUACGCAUUAUUUAAUUUAAUAUACAUACUUGCAUUAUGGUACUAUUUACUAUUUUUUUCUGACAUUGUACACGUGGAAUUUUAGGCUUAGAAAGGUAUCAGAAAGGAAUUUAGGCUCAGUAACUUGCCUAAAGUUUUGCAGAUCAUAAAUGAUAGAGAUGGAAUUUGAAUCUAGACCCCCUGACUUUAGAACUGUGGCCUUAACUACUGCUCUAUAGUGCCUUCUUUACUGCCCAGUAAAGCAGUCAUUAGGGAGGCUGGAUUAAAAGCAAAGUCAAAGCACUUAUAUUCUCUGUUGUGAUAGACACUUGGUUGUUUAUCAAAUAGCCAUUUCUACUUUCUGCCAAUUUUGUUCAGAUAUUGGGCAGCCAAGAACUUCAAGUACUUGGAGGAAGUUAAAUAGUGAUUAGUCUGAACCUAAGAGUGGUAAUUUCAUUAUUUUGCUACAAAUUAGUUAGGAAUGGCCUAAUGACACAAUUCCUAUCAAUAAUACAUAGCAAAGAUUUAAAGGCUGGGCAUAGUGGCUCAUGCCUGUAAUCCCAGCAUUUUGAGAGGCAGAGGUGGGCAGAUAACUUGAGGCCAGGAGUUUGAGGACAGCCUGGCCAACAUGGCAAAACCCCAUCUCUACCAAAAAUAUAAAAAUUAGGCAGGUGUGGUGGUACAGGCCUGUAAUCCCAG